UUUUACCCUUAAUUGGUUUUAACCAAUUUACCAUUUCAUUUUUACCAUUCAGUUGAAAAUUCCAAAAAUUACACUUUCACACCCCUCGCACCGGAACACUUGCAAAAAGACUUCCGGUAUGUAAUUUUCCAAACCGGAAGACUUUUGGGAAGACUUCCGGAACACAAAAAAAGCAAACCGGAACACUUAAGGAAAGAGUUCCGGUUCACAUAAAAAAAUUUCAAAAAAAAAUUGCAUACCGGAACUGUUUGGAGAAGUGUUCCGGUUUGCUUUUUUUGUGUACCGGAAGUCUUUCUUUAAGUCUUCCGGUACGUGUUUUUUUAUUUUUUUUUUGUAAUUUUUUUUUUUUUAAUUUUUUUUUUUUUUUUUUUACAGAAAUGGAAAAUCUUCCCAAAAUAUGUGUAGAUACUACUGAUGCGUUUAUGACGACGGAAAGAUUUGGUAUACGAGAAGAGGUUAUCAGAUGGAUUAAAGAGGUUGGAAUCGACAAUAAAGUAACUGUUAUUAUCAGUCGUUCAGAUACUGAAACGGUGAAGAGAGGGAGAAGUAACAAAAUAAUAUUUGGCUGUGAUAAAGGUGGGAAACACAAGAUUAGUGAUAGUGGUACCCAAAGUGCGUCCAAGAAAUGUGGAUGUCCAUUUAAAA
rnacentral:lncRNA from 1 species